rnacentral:rRNA from 1 species
AGCGAACGCUGGCGGCAGGCCUAACACAUGCAAGUCGAACGAACUCUUUGGAGUUAAUGGCGGACGGGUGAGUAACACGUGGGAACGUGCCUUUAGGUUCGGAAUAACUCAGGGAAACUUGUGCUAAUACCGAAUGUGCCCUUCGGGGGAAAGAUUUAUCGCCUUUAGAGCGGCCCGCGUCUGAUUAGCUUGUUGGUGGGGUAAUGGCCCACCAAGGCGACGAUCAGUAGCUGGUCUGAGAGGAUGACCAGCCACAUUGGGACUGAGACACGGCCCAAACUCCUACGGGAGGCAGCAGUGGGGAAUCUUGCGCAAUGGGCGAAAGCCUGACGCAGCCAUGCCGCGUGGAUGAUGAAGGUCUUAGAAUUGUAAAAUCCUUUCACCGGUGAAGAUAAUGACUGUAGCCGGAGAAGAAGCCCCGGCUAACUUCGUGCCAGCCGCCGCGGUAA